rnacentral:rRNA from 1 species
CAUCGAGGAUAGAUGAAAGGUGGCCUCUACAUGUAAGCUAUCACUGAAGGAGGGGAUUGCGUCUGAUUAGCUAGUUGGAGGGGUAACGGCCCACCAAGGCGAUGAUCAGUAGCCGGUCUGAGAGGCAUGAACGGCCACAUUGGGACUGAGACACGGCCCAGACCUCUACGGGAGGCAGCAGUGGGGAAUCUUCCGCAAUGGACGAAAGUCUGACGGAGCAACGCCGCGUGAGUGAUGACCGGCUUCGGGUUGUAAAGCUCUGUUAAUCGGGACGAAAGGCCUUCUUGCGAAUAGUGAGAAGGAUUGAC